AUUAGCUCAGCUGGUUAGAGCAUGGUGCUAAUAGCACCAAGGUUAUGGGUUUGACCCCAGCAGAGGCCAUUCACUUAAGAGCUGGACUAAGAUCCUUAUGGGUCUCUUCCAAUUUAGAAUAUUCUGUGAAAUCUGUGAAGGUUAUUAUUUUUCUUCUGCCUGACUUUAUUUCAUAGCAAACAUUUCAUCUGCACCUUCUUAAAAAAACCGUGAGAGCUGCUGUCUUUGUGAUGAGCUAGUGGCCUCCAAAGUUCCCCAAAGACUAAUAAUAUUUCUUCAUUUUGACUGUGAAGUUUUCAUCUACACUUAGCAAUAAAUCACAGGCUCUGGAUAUAAUGUGAGUUUCCUUCUACCUUUAGUAAGAUUUUGAAUGCAACAAAGGAACAAAGGAAGUCUGUAGUCUCAGGGCUGAAUGGAUCCAGUUACAAACACAGCAAAACACAAGAAAACAGCUUCACUGUUCCACAGGCCAGGUUUGAAAAGGAGGAGCUUUCUAGCAAAAAAAAAAUUAGUGUUAUCA